GUGGAGAAUCUGUAAAGCUCAGGAGGGAUAGCACCAUGGAUGAUCAUAUUAUUAUAGCUUCUGUUUAAUUUUCACGAGCUUUUUGAUCAUCUGCAGCGCUAUCCAUCCUGAGUUUCAUGGCUUCUCCAU
rnacentral:pre_miRNA from 1 species